GCGUUCUUUUCGAGGUCGGCCGCGUGGCUGGAAGACAUGGCCACUCCAGUCGGUGUUGAGCACGGCGAGCAGUCUCAGGCCUUUAGUGAUGAUGGUGCAGUCAGCCUCAGUUUCCAAAGCCGGAAAAGGAUCCUCUAGUAGCCACGGUGUGGCAGCUGCUCUGAACCAGGACCUGGACCCGGACCCAAAGUGCCAUGUCUUUAAUGUGAGUUAGCUCCCAGCGAUGCCAGAUGGGAUCAGCACAGCCCUGCCUCUGCUGCUAAUUGUUCCUCUAAAGUAAUCGCCAUGCGUUCUUUGGGCUUCAUCUUUAAAGGAAUGAAGCAACUGAGAUUAUUCUGGAAAACCUUUUGGCAGUUAGUGAAAUUAGAGUACAACUAAGAACAUUUUCAGACCUCCACUGUGGAUGACCUGGGUAUAAUCUCACAAAUCGAUGGGACUGCAAGGAUUGUAAACUGAAAUGAACAUGAUUAUACUCUGUUGGAAGAGCCUAAGAGGAAACUGAUGCCAUGAGUUUCAGAGAGUAAUGCUUAACCCCAGUUACACAGGAUGCCGUCUUGUGUUUCCUCUUGUUUAGUUACCCACUACAGUGAUUUUGUGAUCUGCUAAUGGGUUGCCACCCACAACCAUUGCUUUAGCACUUUUACUUCAAAUCAAUGAAGGAUUGAUAAAAGUUCUCCUGGUGUCUCCGCAGAGUGCCUUCCAGGAACAGAUCUUUGCAUAGAAUAUCAGUGGUUUCCUUUUUUGUUUCAAAUAGUGGUCAGAAAAUACCCAGUGUUGACUCACCAAGGCAAUCAGCUUCCUUUUUCCCUUUUUUUGUUUUUUUUUUAACAUUUUAUAUUUUUGCUUUAUUUUAUUUUAUUUUAUUUUAUUUUAUUUUAUUUUAUUUUAUUUUUUGAGACGGAGUUCCACUCUGUCGCCAGGCUGGAGUGAAGUGGUACAAUCUUGGCUCACUGCAACCUCCACCUCCCGGGUUCAAGCAAUUCUCCUGGCUCAGCCUCCUGAGUGCUGGGACUACAGGCGCGUACCUUCUUUAGUAGAGACUGGGUUUCACCAUGUUGGCCAGGAUGGUCUCUAUCUCCUGACCUUGUGAUCUGCCUGCCUCAGCUUCCCAAAGUGCUGAGAUGACAGGUGUGAGCCAUCAGACCCAGCAUUUUUUUUUUUAAUUUAAAUUUAAAUUUUUUUUCAUUUUUUUGAGAGGUUUUUUUUGUUUUGUUUUGUUGUUGUUGUUGUUGUUGUUUUUGAGACAGUCUUGCUCUGUCACCCAGGCUGGGAGUGCAGUGGCAUGAUCUCUGCAACCUCUACCUCCCAGGUUCAAGCAAUUCUUGUGCCUCAGCCUCCCAAGUAACUGGGACUACAGGUGCACGCUACCACACCUGGCUGAUUUUUUUUGUUUUAGUAGAGACAGGGUUUCAACCAUGUUGCCCAGGUUGGUCUCAAACUCCUGAGCUCAGGCAAUCCACCCGCCUUGGCCUCCCAAAGUGCUAGGAUUACAGGUGUGAGCCACCACACCCAGCUAUUUUUUCUUUCGUUUUUUAAUUUUAAAGUUGGGGGGGGGUCUCAAUUUGUUACCCUGGCUGGUCUCGAACUCCCGGACUUAAGCGAUCCUCUGGCUCCAAGCCCACUACCAGUCUCAGGUUUCUUUACUAAAAGAUCACUACCUUUUUUUCUCUUAUCUGCUGCCAUGUGAGAUGUGGCUUUCACCUUCCGCCAUGAUUGUGAGGCCUUCCCAGCCAUGUAGAACUGUAAGUCCAAUAAACCUCUUUUGUAAAUUAAAAAAAAAAAAUCACUAUUUAAGAUACUAGGAUGGAUUGUGACUGUUGAGGAGUACUUACAUAUCCUACAUUUGACUACAUUAUUUCCAAACCAAGUAUUCCAUCCAAAGGAACAUACUGCUAUCAUAGAGACCAAGGAGGGACUGUUUAAGGUUGCCAAGGUGAAGCGAGCUGAGAGGCUUUGUCCUCGUGCCAGUAACUCUGAAAUCUCUCUUAAUUCCUGCUGUCCAGGCAGCAGAAUGCCAUGGUUUCCCCAAGUAGGUAGCUGCUUUAGCAGUUAAAGCCCAAAUGUCUGUUCUGUUGAUCAGAGGUCUCUGAAUUUCUGAAGUGGUGUUUCGUUUCUGGUGACUGAGUUAAUCCUUUACAAUCCCUCUUGUAAAGUGUGCUAAUAGAAAGAAUCCACCUUUCAAAGCUGCAGAACCAGACCGUGCCCUAAAUUGACCAACGUAACUGAUGUGCCUCAGGAAGUCUCUUGCCAGCUGUCCCUGUGAAGACCCCCCUCCUCCCCCCCAGCUGCUGCCUUGCACACUGAAGCAUCUCAGACUGUGCAAAGCCGUGUAGUCAUCAAGACAGUAAAUCCCAGGGCUUGGUUAAGUGCUGUGUGAUAACUUGUUUGGAUGAGACUUAACUUAAAACCACUUACAAUAAACUUGGGAAACUACCGUCA
rnacentral:lncRNA from 10 species